AGUGAAGAUUCAGUUCAAGUAUAGAAAUUCCUAGUGACCAGCUGCCUCUCGUUGCCGUGACUACAACAAAGGCAGGACAAGCCCCUCCCUGAAGGACUCCGCAGUGAGGAAAGAGGGAGACACAUAAAAGACACUCAUGGACUUGAGCAGCACAACUGCCUGAUCAGGAUGCCCAGUGAGAAACAGGUUACCAGUGUGCCCUGGUGCGGAUCCUCCGGUGCUAGGCCGCUGGGCGGGGUCUGGUCAGGGUCGGUGGCCCCUGGAAGGCCUCCUCUAGCACCCGGGGGACCCACAGGUAAUUCUAUUUCCUAACUGUGCCCUGAGAGGACAGAGCUGCCAGAAGCUGUUCUGGGAGUGGACGAUCACGGUGGGCUUUCUGGAGGAGGCGAUUCCUGAGUUGGGGCCUGAGAGUCAGAGCCCACCAGAAAGGUAGAGGAGACCUUGGACAAAGAGAAGGUGAGCUCAGCAAGACCGGGGCUGAAGUAGUCUUCCCACAGUCACACAGCCAGCAGGCAGGGAAGCCAGGAUUACAACCAGGUAUGAUUGUCCCGUUGUUCAAAACUAUAGCACUAUGCCACGCCCUGUCAGGAAAUCCACGGAGACAUUGAACAAUGCUGGGGAGGAGGUGGGGUGGGGGGACCCCACAAGCACUAUGUUUUCCUGGGAGGUGGAAGGCUGAAUGGUCAGUGGAGAGCAACAGGCUCGGAGGGGACGCCUCGCUCAAGCCGGGAGGGCCGUGUGGACAGUGGCUCAGAGUCCGGAUUGUGGGAACGAGCCAAGGAGCCACCACGUGUCUGCAGAGGUGGGUGAGGCCAGCCUGCGCCAUCACGGCCUCGGUCUUGGGCCGGACUUGGUAAGCAGGGAGGCACUGAAGACUCUUCACCUGGCACGCGCUGUCCUGAGCAUCGGGAAAAUAACUCUGAGAGCAUGGCCAGGAUCCAGAGGGGAGGCUUUCCACGAAGGCAGCAAAGCGAAACUGCAAGUUAAGCAAGUGCAGAGUGCUGACCCCUGUCCUCAGAGGGCCUCUGGAGGGCAAAUCCUCAAGAUCAGCUUGAUAAUAGCGAGACCCUGGAGGGCAAAUCCUCAGGUCCUUUUGAAAUCAAAGGGGGCAAGGAUGAGGAAAGUCCAGAGAAAGGACCCAGAUCUCCACUGAAGGACUAACCAUCAUAAUUCGCCACUUGCCACCCUUCCUUGUCCAUAACUCUGGUUAGGAUGCUUCAAGGGCCGGCACCUUUCAGCCCGGAUGUGAACCCGGGCUCUGUCUCCUGCUCCGUUCACCUGGAAAUAAAACUCUCUU